AUCGAAUAUGCCGUGGAAGCUAAUAUACCAGAACAAUCCGACGCUCAUUUAGACACGCCUUCGAGUAUAAACACGGAUGAUUUUACUGGGCAACAUUUAAAUACUGCAGUUGCGGUUCCAAUGCAAGAGAGUGUUAAUGAUCACAUCACAGGCACAUCUUCAAACCAGAAUGAUGAUCAUAAGUUACAAGCUUCAGUAAUGAAGACAACACCUCAACAAGAAAACGUCAUAUUACAAACACCUACCAGAAAAAGAAAAGUAUGCCAAAUCUAUGAUCCUGAUACACCAUCAGCUUACGACACACCCGUCAAAAAACGACUCUGUAGAAGAAUCAUUGAACUAAAAGGCAAAGUGCAAGAGAAGAAUUUGAAAUUGAAAAAACUACGGGAAUCUAACCGAAGACUUAAACGUCAAAUUAUUUCAUUAAAGUCACUCUUGGCGGAAUUGGAGAAAAAAGAGCUUAUUACACCAGAUACCAGUUUAAUGCUCGAUUCAUUAGGAGUAAAGUGUCGUGAAAUCGUUGAUCGGCAAAUACAAAAACGAAAAACUGGUAAAAACAUACGGAAAAAAUAUUCACCGCAGUUGAGGGCAUUUGCGCUAACGCUUAAUUUUUAUUCAACUAAAGCCUA